GACGAACGCUGGCGGCGUGCUUAAUACAUGCAAGUCGAACGGAGAGGCGCCUUCCUUUUUGGUGGGUGUGGAUGAGUGGCGAGCGGGUGAGCAACACGUUAGUAACCUGCUCCCUCCUUCAGGAUAACGGCAUGAAAGUGUUGCUACUACGGGAUAUAUUGGGUCUCUCGCUUGAAUGGUCUGGGACGGUUUUUGUGUCGGUGGGAGAUGGGCUCGCGCCUUAUCAGCUUGUUGGUGGGGUGAUGGCUUACCAAGGCGAUGACGAGUAGCCGGCCUGAGAGGGUCGGCGGUCACAGUGGGAAUGAGAGACCGAGCCGACUCCGACAGGCAGCAGCAGGGAGUAAUAUUGCACGGUGGGAGGAAGCCUGAAGCAGCGACGCCGCGUGGGUGAUGGAGGCCUUCGGGUUGUGAUCCGCUUUCGCCAGUGAACCAGUCCUGCCGCGUUUGUGCGUGGGUUGACGGUAGCUGAUCAAAAAGCGACGGCUAACUACGUG
rnacentral:rRNA from 1 species